rnacentral:rRNA from 1 species
GGGAUCUUCGGACCUUUCGGUUAAAGGGGAGUCUAUGUGAUAUCAGCUAGUUGGUAGGGUAAAGGCCUACCAAGGCUAUGACGUCUAGGCGGAUUGAGAGAUUGACCGCCAACACUGGGACUGAGACACUGCCCAGACUCCUACGGGAGGCUGCAGUCGAGAAUCUUUCGCAAUGGACGGAAGUCUGACGAAGCGACGCCGCGUGUGUGAUGAAGGCUCUAGGGUUGUAAAGCACUUUCGCUUGGGAAUAAGAGAAGGCGGUUAAUACCCGCCGGAUUUGAGCGUACCAGGUAAAGAAGCACCGGCUAACUCCGUGCCAGCAGCUGCGGUAAUACGGAGGGUGCUAGCGUUAAUCGGAUUUAUUGGGCGUAAAGGGCGUGUAGGCGGAAGAGUAAGUCAGUUGUCAAAUCUCGGGGCUCAACCCCGAAUCGGCAUCUGAUACUAUUUUUCUAGAGGGUAGAUGGAGAAAAGGGAAUUUCACGUGUAGCGGUGAAAUGCGUAGAUAUGUGGAAGAACACCAGUGGCGAAGGCGCUUUUCUAAUUUACACCUGACGCUAAGGCGCGAAAGCAAGGGGAGCAAACAGGAUUAGAUACCCUGGUAGUCCUUGCCGUAAACGAUGCAUACUUGAUGUGGAUGGUCUCAACCCCAUCCGUGUCGGAGCUAACGCGUUAAGUAUGCCGCCUGAGGAGUACACUC